rnacentral:rRNA from 1 species
UACGUAGGUGGCGAGCGUUGUCCGGAUUUACUGGGCGUAAAGAGCGCGCAGGCGGUCGUACAAGUCGCGUGUGAAAGCCCCCGGCUCAACUGGGGAGGGUCACGCGAUACUGUUCGACUCGAAGGCAGGAGAGGGAAGUGGAAUUCCCGGUGUAGCGGUGAAAUGCGUAGAUAUCUGGAGGAACACCGGUGGCGAAGGCGGCAUCCUGGACCAACACUGACACUGAGGAGCGAAAGCCAGGGGAGCAAACGGG